rnacentral:sRNA from 1 species
GCAAGGUUCGGUGCUGCACACCUGUAGUCCCAGCUAUGCAGGAGGCCAAGGCAGGAGGAUCACAAGUUUGAGGCCAACCUGGGAACUAUAGUGAGACCCUGUCUUAA